rnacentral:lncRNA from 1 species
UUUCCCAUCUUCCUGCCUUCUCUGCCUUGGUUUAUUUUAUGGAGGAACCUGACAUAAACUUCGUUAUUUUACUUGGAGGUGACGGGGUGUAUUAUUGAUUGAGAGAGCACCACUGUGCAGUUCCUUGGACCUGUUGCGCAGCAGACAUCAGCUGCCUGAUGUCGCCAAGUAAUUCACUAAUCAACUCCACAUGAGGUGAUAAAUCUUUCCAGCAACAAUCCACCAUCACCCCAGUCGUGAAAAGAAGACCAGAAGCACCACCCUUUCAUCAUCUCCAGGAGCUGACGGACACCGCGAGCUCACUGCCAACAGAGCAGUGCAGGACUUCGGUGCCACUUCCCGAAAAUGGAAGAGGGAGAGCUGUCGCAGGCAUAUAAAUUAAAGGUUGUUUGGAAUUUUUGUAAAGGGCUUGUUCCCAGCCCAGAUCUGGUUCCUCAGCACCAACCUAGAGAAGGGAACAUAAACACUCAGACACCAACACAGAAAGUACUGGAUCCCACGAGAAAUGCAGCCACCUGCUGUGGUCGUUCAUCAUGGAAAGAGUCUCCCCAGUUGGGAGAUCUAGAACAUCUUCCAGGGAGUGCAGUGCCAUAGGGACAUCUUCCCUGGAAGGGGCUUUCUACUUGAGAUGCACGCGUUAGAUAAGAUUUGGACUAGGGGUUGAAGGAAUGACCUAGACUGAAGCUAGCACGUGAUGCAUGUUCUUGCUUUAUUUUCGAGAUUAUGUGCAGUAGCCUCCGAGUAAUUCUGAGCUGCCAGUGGCUGACAACACCAGAUCCUGGGAAGGCGCAGCUCCUCUAGAGCUUCACCAGGGACAGACCCACCUGGCUGCCUGCUGAACAGGUCCUGUUCUGAGUUGAAUUAAACCUUCUAUAAAGCAGUGGUUCUUGAAAUGUAGCUGUUGGAUGGACAGCGUCAGCAUCACCUGGGAACUUUUUACAAGAGUGAAUUCUUGAACCCUACCAAACCCAAAGCGGAAACUCGAGGGACGGCGCUCAGCUCCGAGUUUAACAAGUCCGCUGGGUACACUUGCUGCUCUCUAAACUUGGAGAAUCGUGGCAUGAGCCCAUGAUAAUGACACUUUACUUCAGGGGCCGGGAAUUGUUGAUCCAGACCCCUCCUCCCUAUGAAGCCCGGUGGGGUCAUCCAGUUUUCCUUGAGUCUGCGCAGAGGACUCGUGACUGAUUAGUUUCAGGGAGUUUUGAUAGUUACUCUUACAGAUCAGCUGCCUGCUGCCUUAACUGACACAACCACAAGACACAACGAUUCAGUAGGCUUGCACUGUGGAAAUGAUCAUUCUUUAGCUGCUCAGCUGAGACCCUAAGAUCUCCAAACUCAAAGUACCACAGUGUGAGGGGAGGGAGGAGCCAGCCAGCGGAUGCCUAGGUGAAUUUGGCACAUGAGUCCGUUUCCGAACAGUUGGGUGUGUAAACUGUUUGCAGUCUUAUUCCUUCGGGUCAGCUACAAGUUCUUCAUGUGGCUGUGGACUUCCUGGUGGGGUAUAGGUGAGUCUUCAUAAAACUGUUGGAUUCUUGGUAGGGGAUGGUUAGUUAUUCGUGAGGCUGUUGGCUCCCUGGCGGAGUAUAGCUGGUUCUCCAGCAGGCUGAUUUCUUAGUGGGGAACAGUAGGGAGAGCUCUGUAGCUCCUUCAGUCAUGCCAGAGAAUAAAGAAGUUUGUGUGUCUGAAACUUUGUGAACC